rnacentral:rRNA from 1 species
UACGGAGGGUGCAAGCGUUGUCCGGAUUUAUUGGGUUUAAAGGGUGCGUAGGCGGCUUUGUAAGUCAGUGGUGAAAUACGGUAGCUUAACUAUCGAGGUGCCAUUGAUACUGCAGAGCUUGAGUACAGAUGAGGUAGGCGGAAUUGACGGUGUAGCGGUGAAAUGCUUAGAUAUCGUCAAGAACACCUAUAGCGAAGGCAGCUUACUAGGCUGUAACUGACGCUGAGGCACGAAAGUGUGGGGAUCAAACAGG